CUCGUGCAUUACAUCUGCAUCACCAACUCACUGAAGCGAUUGCAUUUACAGAUCUCACUGCAUUCUGACUCCAUGUGCGCGCACCUGCCAUGCGAGUUUUCACUUCCGCGUCACUCGGCAUGGCACUCGACUACACUACAAGGAUCUGGCUGUAGUCACUACUGAUCAGGAAAACCACAGGAUCCAUGAACUCAUAGGGAAAAACUAUACUUGGAUUGGGAUGUACAGAGCCAGCCCAAAUGUUUUUAGUCUUGGUGAAGGAGAAAAAGACAUGGGAAGAAGCUUUUCACUAUUGCAGAAUGAAUUACACUGGCCUGGCAUCCAUGGCAUCUGAUACAAAAUUACAGUUGGCUGAAAUGGAGAGCAAUAACGCCCAAACAGACAGGAUCUGGACUGGUCUGACCUUCCUAAAUGGAAAGUGGGUUUGGGUAAGCAGAGAACCAUUGGGGAAAUUGGUCUCCCUGCCAUCAUGUCCAGAUCAACGCUACCGCUGUGGUGCUCUCAACAACAAAACGCACCAUUUGGAGAACAGAGACUGCAAAGAGAAGCUUAAUUUCUUCUGCUAUUACUAAGGCGUUCCAUAGGAUGCACAGUCAUCGCCAAGAAGAAUAUGAGCAAAAUACAAUACAACAAUCUCACCAGAACUGGGUUUGCAGUGUGUUUAGGUCUGGUUUAUUCAAGUGGAAAUAUUAUUUUAUGCUCUUGUAGUGUGGAAAAAGAAUUUCUGAUGCACAGAAAAUUGGGAAAGGUGUUGUUUAAAUAUAUAUUCUUUGAAAUCCAUGUACAAAAUGCAUUAUGUACUUAUAAUUAUUUUGUCUUUGCUUUCUGGUUAAAAAAAAUCUAUUUGAGAAUAUCUUCCUUUAGGACAACAAAAAACAUUGAUAUGUUUCGUCCUUUCAUAGCGUUAAAGUGGCCAAAAUUAUCUGAUGUGGUUACUGUUACUCUUUGUCAUUUCUUUGGUCACAGUAGUUCUAAUUCUACUAUCAUGUAAACCUGAAUGUGGUGGGAAUGUGAUAAAUCUGUAAUUAUAAUAAAUAUAUUGUAAAAACAAAUAAAGUAAUUGUGAUUUAACCCCAA